CCAGGGCUUCGGCCCUGGGGACAGCGGCGAACGGGUGAGUAACACGUGGAUAACCUGCCCUCGGCACCGGAAUAGCCCGGGGAAACCCGGAUUAAUGCCGGAUAGCCCCACAUCCCUGCGGGGAACGUGGGAAAAGGUGGCUUCGGCCUCUGGCCGAGGAGGGGUCCGCGGUGGAUUAGCUUGUUGGCGGGGUAACGGCCCACCAAGGCGACGAUCCAUAGCUGGUCUGAGAGGACGAUCAGCCACACUGGGACUGAGACACGGCCCAGACUCCUACGGGAGGCAGCAGUGGGGAAUCUUGCGCAAUGGGCGAAAGCCUGACGCAGCGACGCCGCGUGCGGGAAGAAGGCCUUAGGGUUGUAAACCGCUUUCAGGAGGGACGAAGCCACUCGGGUUAAUAGCCCAGAGGGUGACGGUACCUCCAGAAGAAGCCCCGGCUAACUACGUGCCAGCAGCCGCGGUAAUACGUAGGGGGCAAGCGUUGUCCGGAUUCAUUGGGCGUAAAGAGCGUGUAGGCGGCCAGGUAGGUCGGUUGUGAAAACUGGAGGCUCAACCUUCAGACGUCGACCGAAACCAUCUGGCUAGAGUCCGGGAGAGGAGAGUGGAAUUCCUGGUGUAGCGGUGAAAUGCGCAGAUAUCAGGAAGAACACCCGUGGCGAAAGCGGCUCUCUGGAACGGUACUGACGCUGAGACGCGAAAGCGUGGGGAGCGAACAGGAUUAGAUACCCUGGUAGUCCACGCCGUAAACGAUGGGCGCUAGGUGUGGGAGGUGUCGACUCCUUCCGUGCCGCAGCUAACGCAUUAAGCG
rnacentral:rRNA from 1 species